CUACUUCUUGGCUCCAUAUUACCACUGCAGAUUAAUUAUAUUGCCAGCUGCAAAGGUAAUAAGGAGUCUGUCAGUAUCAUGCUGCUUUAACCCUGAGUACACUGUUUGCUGACAGCUAAUAGUGAGCCUGGAGUAGCUGAAGUGGUUGGAGUCUAAGGUUUUCACUGCUUUAACCAUGUGCACACUGUGUGCUGAGAACUAACAAUGAGUCAGAAGUAGAUGAAAUGGAUUGCAUCGAUCAGUAUCUUGUUGCUUUAACCAUGUGCACACUGUUCU